CAACGUUAAAUGUCGACCCACUGGCUGUCAGUGCGCUGCUUACGGACUUACACCGGAUAACCCUCCAAUCACCUCUCCACAGUCAACAGACAUGGCUGAAACCCCAAUUCACAGACCGCCGAUCUAACAGCAAAUUGAACUCUGGGAAUGUGGCUUGGCUUUGUUUUCCCUGGACAGGAGAUGAGCUUCAUUGGUUGCUGCCUGUAGAGGAAACUUUGGAAUAACAGGGUGGGCAGGCAAGGCAAUAGACUAUGCCUGAGAGAGAGAGAGAGAGAGAGAGAGAGAGCAUAUGGUUGUUGAUGACUUUUAUAUAAGCUAAUGGUCUCAAGCCAACUUUCAAGACAUUUAUCCAAAGUUAUAGGUAAAAAAACACCCAUUCCAGAGUGCAUUUUGUUUUCACAUCAACUUUUCUGCCUCUCAACAGAGAGACUCUCUCAGUGAAAGAGUGCAUUAAUACAGCCCUAAUGCAGACCACCCUGGUAAUCCUGUGUGGAUGACAUGACCAAAGUUUACCAUCUGGCAGGUGGCUCUUCAGCAAAUUUAAGCAAUUACGUACACAGCAUGAAUAGACCACUGACUUUUUGCCAGUGGAAUCUCAUUAAAUGAUCAUAAACAAACAGCUUAGAAAAACAAGUUUUAGCGACAUUAGCAUUUUUAUGCCCAGCUAAACACACAAUUUUACCUUUCAUUUGACGAUGUCAAGGUGAUGUUCAGACCUUCCUGGAACGGAGCAUGAUGCUAGCAAAACUUUUUUUUAAAAGAUAGCAAAUUCUUCAGAUGUUUUGCCAUAUUUACGCUGAGAAUAAUGUAGCAUAUGACCAUUGUAGGCUAUGUUCCUGGUGAUGGAUACCUGGUAGCUGACAAAUAAAUAUGAGCCUUUCAAUGGGCUAUAUCUGGGAGAUUUUCAUUAUUAAAAUAAAUUCUGUUUUGGCAAGUAUAGAAAAAUAUAUGUUUUGGGGAAAUA